GGGUUGUGAGGUUAAGCGACUAAGCGUACACGGUGGAUGCCCUGGCAGUCAGAGGCGAUGAAGGGCGUGCUAAUCUGCGAUAAGCGCCGGUAAGGUGAUAUGAACCGUUAUAACCGGCGAUACCCGAAUGGGGAAACCCAGUGUGACUCGUCACACUAUCAUUAACUGAAUCCAUAGGUUAAUGAGGCGAACCGGGGGAACUGAAACAUCUAAGUACCCCGAGGAAAAGAAAUCAACCGAGAUUCCCCCAGUAGCGGCGAGCGAACGGGGAGGAGCCCAGAGCCUGAAUCAGCAUGUGUGUUAGUGGAAGCGUCUGGAAAGGCGCGCGAUACAGGGUGACAGCCCCGUACACAAAAGCGCAUGUGCUGUGAGCUCGAUGAGUAGGGCGGGACACGUGGUAUCCUGUCUGAAUAUGGGGGGACCAUCCUCCAAGGCUAAAUACUCCUGACUGACCGAUAGUGAACCAGUACCGUGAGGGAAAGGCGAAAAGAACCCCGGCGAGGGGAGUGAAAAAGAACCUGAAACCGUGUACGUACAAGCAGUGGGAGCACCCUUUGGGUGUGACUGCGUACCUUUUGUAUAAUGGGUCAGCGACUUAUAUUCUGUAGCAAGGUUAACCGAAUAGGGGAGCCGGAGGGAAACCGAGUCUUAACCGGGCGUUAAGUUGCAGGGUAUAGACCCGAAACCCGGUGAUCUAGCCAUGGGCAGGUUGAAGGUUGGGUAACACUAACUGGAGGACCGAACCGACUAAUGUUGAAAAAUUAGCGGAUGACCUGUGGCUGGGGGUGAAAGGCCAAUCAAACCGGGAGAUAGCUGGUUCUCCCCGAAAGCUAUUUAGGUAGCGCCUCGUGAAUUCAUCUCCGGGGGUAGAGCACUGUUUCGGCUAGGGGGCCAUCCCGGCUUACCAACCCGAUGCAAACUGCGAAUACCGGAGAAUGUUAUCACGGGAGACACACGGCGGGUGCUAACGUCCGUCGUGAAGAGGGAAACAACCCAGACCGCCAGCUAAGGUCCCAAAGUCAUGGUUAAGUGGGAAACGAUGUGGGAAGGCCCAGACAGCCAGGAUGUUGGCUUAGAAGCAGCCAUCAUUUAAAGAAAGCGUAAUAGCUCACUGGUCGAGUCGGCCUGCGCGGAAGAUGUAAC
rnacentral:rRNA from 1 species